GAUGAAGAACGCAGCGAAAUGCGAUAAGUAAUGUGAAUUGCAGAAUUCAGUGAAUCAUCGAAUCUUUGAACGCAUCUUGCGCUCCUUGGUAUUCUGAGGAGCAUGCCUGUUUGAGUGUCAUUAAAUUCUCAACUACACUGACUUUGAAUUGGUGUGGCUUGGAUUUGGGGGGAAAAUUGUUGUGGGCUUUUUGUAUAGUCUGCUCCCCUGAAAUUGAUUAGCGGUACCUUUGUGGAACUGUCUACAGGUGUGAUAAUUAUCUACAUCUUAGACAUCUGCUGGAAUGCUGCUUUCUAAACCUUACUUGUAUUGACAAUCUUGACCUCAAAUCAGGUAGGGAUACCCGCUGAACUUAAGCAUAUCAAUAAGCGGAGGA
rnacentral:misc_RNA from 1 species